GUCAGAGGCGAUGAAGGACGUGCUAAUCUGCGAUAAGCGUCGGUAAGGUGAUAUGAACCGUUAUAACCGGCGAUUUCCGAAUGGGGAAACCCAGUGUGAUUCGUCACACUAUCAUUAACUGAAUCCAUAGGUUAAUGAGGCGAACCGGGGGAACUGAAACAUCUAAGUACCCCGAGGAAAAGAAAUCAACCGAGAUUCCCCCAGUAGCGGCGAGCGAACGGGGAGCAGCCCAGAGCCUGAAUCAGUGUGUGUGUUAGUGGAAGCGUCUGGAAAGGCGCGCGAUACAGGGUGACAGCCCCGUACACAAAAAUGCACAUGCUGUGAGCUCGAUGAGUAGGGCGGGACACGUGGUAUCCUGUCUGAAUAUGGGGGGACCAUCCUCCAAGGCUAAAUACUCCUGACUGACCGAUAGUGAACCAGUACCGUGAGGGAAAGGCGAAAAGAACCCCGGCGAGGGGAGUGAAAAAGAACCUGAAACCGUGUACGUACAAGCAGUGGGAGCCUCUUUAUGGGGUGACUGCGUACCUUUUGUAUAAUGGGUCAGCGACUUAUAUUCUGUAGCAAGGUUAACCGAAUAGGGGAGCCGAAGGGAAACCGAGUCUUAACUGGGCGUUAAGUUGCAGGGUAUAGACCCGAAACCCGGUGAUCUAGCCAUGGGCAGGUUGAAGGUUGGGUAACACUAACUGGAGGACCGAACC
rnacentral:rRNA from 1 species